UGUUAUAAUCGUGGAGAAAGCAGAGACAACAUUAUUCUAAGGUGAAUGUAUCCCUAAGCAAGUCGAUUAGCCGCCAUUGCAUACCAAGCUGAUCAAGGGACAGGCAACAUUUGGAAUCCAAAGCACCACCACCACCACCAAGAGCACCACCAACAGCUUUGGCCAAGUCACAAUCGCGGACACAUAUGCAACUAGGAAGCAAAAUGAUCUGGCCUGCCAGCAACAGCAAUAACAACAACAACAAGCGCUCAAAGACCUUGGUAUGGGGGCCCAUUGCAAUCGGCUGAACGGGGCAUUGGCAAUGGCAACGGCAACGGCAACCUGCCACACGUUGCGGCCUACGUAAGUGGCAAGAUCGCACACACAGUCAAAGUAAAGUCCGGAAUUGCGCUAAGGAUGCCAAGCGAAAGGUGGGCAGGUUGGUUGGUAGGUCCAUGUGGGAUGCCUGUUUUGCUGCCUGCUGCUGAUUCUGUUGCUGCCAUGCCCCCAAGUUGUUGCAUUGAUUUAGCAAACAUGCAUUUUUAUAGCCUUACAACGCGACCAGCUGGCGGCGCGGGGCUUUCUACACUGGUCAAAAUGGGAGUAAC
rnacentral:sRNA from 1 species